UACAGAGGUCCCAAGCGUUGUUCGGAUUCAUUGGGCGUAAAGGGUGCGUAGGCGGCGCGGUAAGUCGGGUGUGAAAUCUAGGAGCUUAACUCCGAAACUGCAUUCGAUACUGCCGUGCUUGAGGACUGGAGAGGAGACUGGAAUUUACGGUGUAGCGGUGAAAUGCGUAGAUAUCGUAAGGAAGACCAGUGGCGAAGGCGGGUCUCUGGACAGUUCCUGACGCUGAGGCACGAAGGCCAGGGGAGCAAACGGG
rnacentral:rRNA from 1 species